GGCUUGGUGCGCGCUGUCCGCCGAGGUUUCUCGGUGUGUACAGAAGUGCGCCUGCCAUCCUUCUGGAAAAUGAUCCUACCCUUCACUGGGCCGGGGUCACUUCUGGAUCUUUUACUUUGAAAAAAUUAGAGUGUUCAAAGCAGGCUUGCGCUAUGAAUACAUUAGCAUGGAAUAAUAAUUUAGGACUUCUGUUCUAUUUUGUUGGUUUCUAGGAUGGAAGUA
rnacentral:rRNA from 1 species